UACGGAAGGCAGCAGUGGGGAAUAUUGGACAAUGGGCGAAAGCCUGAUCCAGCCAUGCCGCAUGAGUGAAGAAGGCCUUCGGGUUGUAAAGCUCUUUUAGUGAGAAAGAUAAUGACGGUACUCACAGAAGAAGUCCUGGCUAACUCCGUGCCAGCAGCCGCGGUAAUACGGAGAGGGCUAGCGUUAUUCGGAAUUAUUGGGCGUAAAGAGCGCGUAGGCUGAUUAGUAAGUUAAAAGUGAAAUCCCAAAGCUUAACUUUGGAAUUGCUUUUUAAAACUGCUAGUCUAGAGAUUGAAAGAGGAUAGAGGAAUUCCUAGUGUAGAGGUGAAAUUCGUAAAUAUUAGGAGGAACACCAGUGGCGAAGGCGUCUAUCUGGUUCAAAUCUGACGCUGAGGCGCGAAGGGCGUGGGGAGCAAACAGGGAUUAGAUACCCGU
rnacentral:rRNA from 1 species